rnacentral:rRNA from 1 species
CACGGGGGGAGCAAGCGUUGUUCGGAAUUACUGGGCGUAAAGGGCGUGUAGGCGGCUGAGUAAGUGAGAUGUGAAAUCCCCCGGCUUACCCGGGGACCUGCAUCUCAUACUGCUCGGCUUGAGUAUGGGAGAGGAUGAGGGAAUUCCUGGUGUAGCGGUGAAAUGCGUAGAUAUCAGGAGGAACACCGGUGGCGAAAGCGCUCAUCUGGCCCAAUACUGACGCUGAAGCGCGAAAGCUAGGGGAGCAAACGGG